CGGGGUCAGAGGUUAGGGGUCAGAGGUGACACAGGUCAGGAGUCAAACAGAAGCUCGGGACAGAAGGAAGUUGGAUGGUAGGUGAGAGGAUGUUGGGUACACACACACAGAGAAACAUCACUUGCCUGUAGAUGACUGACGAUACAGUAAGGCUCUUUCUUCCUGGAGCCACAGGUAGACGAGGCCUUCAGGCUCUUCUCACGGCCCACCAACAGGUCUCCCGUUGCAGGGUAACAGCUGCCAUGGGUACAGCCGUGGGCGUGGUCGGGCCCCUGGGCGGUGGCAUAGGCUAGAGCUGGAGAAUAAAGAAAAAGGAGAGGAGGUUAACAAAGGACAGGAAAUGACAUCACAGCUGGGCAUUAUAGCAGAAAGUCGCUUAGAGUGAAGAUCUCUCUCUCUCUCUCUUUCAUGUCUGGCAAGACAUUAGAGGACCAUAUGAACUCUAAUCAGUACAGGAAAGGAAAUCAAAAAGAGGAAGUGGGCCUAUGUUUAAUCCAGAAACCAAAACAGAGCCCAACUGAAGUCGCUGCUACUUACCAAUGUUGAAAAAACACAUAGAUUAUCUUUUGGUAGUGAUGAGCAAUCAACUGAAAUGCUUGUUAUUUUUUCAUUUUUUAAACAACAAAUUGACUGAAGCUGUUCAAUUAUUUGAAUUCCAUUUCAUUUUUUUUUCUGUGAGCGCAAUGCACAGUUUCUCUAGAGAUAAAUCAGAGUGAACUGUGUGAUGUAGUAGGGAGUUGUAGUUUCUCUAGAGAUAAAUCAGAUCCAGACUGAACUGUGUGAUGUAGUAGGGAGUUGUAGUUUCUAAUAGGCCAAUAUUCUACAUAGUUUACCGACCAUAAUCAUAAUCCAUGCGCAAUCGAGAGGGAUAGGGAGCAGCUGCUUCAUGAGGUAUAUCUACCUGAAAAUACAUUAUCCAAGAUUGAUAGUUGGUAUUGAGCAGUCAUAAAAGUAUGCCAUAUUUACUUUGAAGAACUACUAAAAUAGUGAUUUGGUCAGACAGCAGCUAUGAGGACUUGGAAUGAAAUAACGAACUCAAAUAAACUUAAAACAAUUGUAAUAUUACACAAGAACUUAAAUAUUUUAUUAAAGUAAUGUGAAUAAAUGAUGUUUAGCGAUAAGUGAUAAGCAGUAAUGGGAAGUCACUACCAUUAUGGGACUUUUAUUAAUGGUUUUAUUCUGUUGUUACAGCAUUCAACCCACAUAAUGCAUAGUGCAUUUAAUGCCCCAAAAACUUUGGGAAACCGAAAUGGAAAACAGUGAUAAUUUUUGUAUUAUCGAACCGACCUUAAAAAGCACUAAUCGCUCUGCACUAACUUUUGGGGAAUGUACUGGUUAGCUGGGGCUCCCUCUGCUGGUCAAGAAUGGUUGACCUGACAUGCCCACUCAAUCUACAGCAGCUCAACCUACAGCAGCUCAACCUACAGCAGCUCAACCUACAGCAGCUCAACCUAUAGCAGCUCAACCUAUAGCACCUCAACCGGGAAACAUAGCCAAAGGUCAACUGGGAGGUUAACGAGGCCAGCACAGCAGGAAGGUGUGUGUGUGUGUUUGUGCGUCCGCACGUGUGCAUGUGAGCUUAAGUGUGUGCAUCUGUGUGUGUUAGUCUGUGUGUGUUAGUCUGUGUGCGUGUGCAUCUGCAUGCAUGUUUGUGUGACUUGCUAGAUAAAAUGGGGAAGGGUUUCCGUUAGCCGGCUUUUGGCUGAUAAAAUAAAUGAAACGCUGUUGCCUGCCAAAAGGGCCAUGAGAAAAAACAUCUCAUUGCUAAAUUAUGUUUUUUAUUCAUUGAUGGAAAUACAUUUGACCUU
ensembl:lncRNA